GGAGUGAAAGCGGCUGCAGACGACGCAGCACCGCCCCAAGUCCUUGACGUCGCCGACUCGGUUGAAUACGAGGAGCAGCACGGAGUCCGGCAGCCGAUCGAAGUGGUCGAUCUCCUCCUCCUCAUUGUCCUCCGCCUCCGCCGGAUGCCGGCGCCAGCGCCGAAGAUCCUCCGCCUCCGCGAGGCCUCCAGGGGACGUCAUCGGAUCCCAACCUGAUGGAUCGACACAGAUCGACAGAUGUGCCGCAGACCAAUGCGUGGAAACGGGAUGAAUCGCCCACCUACCACCCUAAAAAGGCGCCAUUGUAG
rnacentral:lncRNA from 1 species